CUUCCCAAACAAUUAACAAUUCAGAUCAUCUCUCUGAGAGAAAGCUGAGAAAGUCCCAUUUUGAUGUGCUGAGGUAUCACAAGAGAAGGUCUGCCCAAGCCUGGAUGCUGUGAUUGCCUUGUGUACGUCACUGUCAACCGCUCUCCAGUUGCCUCCCUGAAUCCACCACGCCACUGGCUCUUGGCUCCUACGUCCUCCAGGUUUUCUGUGAUUUCCAGUCAUCGUUGUGGACUCCAUAACCAGAUCAAAAUAGAGAACUUGAAGUGCAGAUGAUGGGUUACCCAGAAUCCUUCUGGAAGGAAGAGAAAGCAUAUCAUUUCAUUGGCCAAGCAGUAAAAAUAAUAAUGAAGCCAAUCAUCCUUUGAACAAGCUUCUGAACUUCAAUCAAGGGGUGUUUUUCAGCUCCAGACUGGCUCUGCUCCUUCACAGCUGUCCCUUCCCAUAGAGAUCACUUCUAAAGAACGAAGCAAACUGAAGCAGCAGGCAAUGUUAAUGCCUUUCAAGAGCGCGAAGCCAAGCGUGAAGGUCACUGCUCUUCUGUAGCAUUAGCAGUAGGCUCCUGAGCACCAGGUGUCUCUGCUUGCUUCUAAAUGCCAUUUUCCCAGCUUGUGCGUGCAAUGCUGUCAUUGCAGUCUGACAGAGGGCUUCACCUUUGGUUCUCCAGAGGAUAGUGUUUCUUCCUUCGAAAAUGUAAAACUUUUCCACAAUUGGGCACCAAGCUCUUGCAGUGUUGCAAGGUAUCAAUGUGUGGGAUGACAGCAAGUAUUCUGGGCUCAGUGCUGUGAGCUGCUGAGGCAAAAUAUUAAUUGAAAUUGCCAGUUCAAGGGACAUUUGCAUUACUGUGACAGCUAGCUCUGCUCUAUCUCGCCUUACCUUUUAAGAUACUACGUGUUUCCUUUGUCCCAGUUGCAGAACAAAUGAGCAAACAAUGCCAUAGAGGAAAGGCCCACCACUUCCCUGAAGAUAACAGCCACAAAAAGCUGCUUGCAGUGUUGGCAGUCUCACAGCCUCUUAUCUUCUUUUCAGCUGCUAUUAAUAACAAACACUUGUGGUGAGGUGGCUAUUGCAUCUUUACAGAAUAUUGUCAGAAAGACAUUCAAAGGCAAAUUUCCCAUCUUAGUGUUUGUUGGCUUGUAAGGAAUUAACAGAUCCUUGCCAUGCUAACCGUUGUUUGUUUGGAGAAUAGUCAGUUUGGGCCGUCUGUGAUACUGUGUAACCUUAAUUAAGUCAAUGACCAUUCAGUGCUUUUUCUCAUUUCAUGUACAAUAGGGGAAAUACAGGUUUUCUUCUCAGGAGUUUGCAGCACUGGUUAUUGUAAAGCUAUUGUUGAACAACCAGUUUCUUGGGCAGGAAACUCCAGAGGCACAUGGAGUGCUUCCAGUUCCAGGAGAGGUGGCAGGAAAUCAGCUCACUUCUUUCCAGUGCUUAUCCUGAGAUAAUGAAAUGCUCAGACCAAGCUACCAAGUGCCAAAAGAGGGCUGACAGAAUAGGGAAUGUUUCAUGUAAGUUCACAAUGGCUUCAUCUUUAAGUUAGGAAAUUACAUUGUGGCCAAACAACUAACAGUUUUAUUCUGCGGCUUUCCUAUCCCAGCCUGAUACGUAAUGGCUCCACCUGAGAAGCAGUUCUGUGUCUGUAGUGAUUAAAGUGCACUAAAAUGCUCUGGGUGACAACUGCUGUACAAACGUGGAGUUUUCUUUUCUUUCUUUUGUUUUAUCAGAUGGCUUUCAGCUGCUAAGAAAAAAUCUCCAGGGUAUGUUUAAAGCACCAUGUUUCAGUUUUGCAUUCACGGGGUGAGAACUCCCACUAUGUUCACGAUUAUGAGUUUAUGCAUGCAUUACUAUCAUGCUGUUCAUAAAUCCCCAUCUGAAAUCACCUCUCCAAAGUGGUCUUAAUUUUACAAAUCCACAUUGCACAAAUGUGGAUUUCUUCCCUUAGCUGAUCUAGGGGAAGAAAGGAUAACAAAUAAGACUAUAUUACCAAACCAAUUCCCAUAUUACAAACAAGACUGUAAAACAAAGUAAGACGUAUAAAGCACUAUAUUUGGAACUAAUAUACCACUGGUAAUUGUAACUAGUAUUAGAGUAGAAGGCAAUAACAACAAACUAGAUAUAUGUGAUUUAGUAUCUAAAAUUAGUAUAAUUACUGGUUAUAGUGUUUGCUUCAAGAGUGGAUGCUGAAUAUGAAAGCACUGGAAGGCUACAGAUAUGGAAUAAGAAGUUAGACAUCACAAAUUUCAUACAGAAUGAAAUCAUUAAAAUCUUAAGAGUCUUGAAGAAAUCUGUUUUGUUUAGAUUCUGGGUCAUCUUGUUGAUACAGUGUCUGGAAAGUCAGAGCAAGAUAGACACUGAGAUAUUUUCCAGGGAUGUUGAACCCCCAGGGAGAAACUACCUGGGCAAGUUCCUCUCUCUCAGUCUCAUAAUAAUGAAAAAUUGUCAGUAGACUGAAUUUCUUUCCAUAUCAAAUACAAAGUUUGAAGACGAUAUUCUUUCUCAGUGCAAUGAUUUACAUGCAGUCUCCCAGACCAUCCCAGUGGGUAUGGACAUGUCUAAGAAUGCUCACGCACUACCCUCACACACUGCAGAAAUAAGCUGUUUUUGGCAGAUGUACACAGUCUGGCAAGCUGCAAAGCUGCUUUUUACAAUGCAAUGCAGAAACAGAGCCACCAGAACAAGUCCUUUUCUGUCUACAUAACAUCAUGCAGGUUCUUUACCUGACAGCUUAUUCUGUCAGGAAUGAACACAAAGGACACUUGGGACACAACAGGAUGUGGCAGCAGUGCUUUCCAAAUAUCGGCACAAGAACAGCACUCCAUUAGCAAUCUUUUCACAGCUGCCCGAGGCACCCUGUUGUGAAUCCUUUUGUGAUUUAAAACUACGUAUUUGGGAGUGUAUUUAACUAAUUAAAAUUGGUCACAAUUCCUUUUCAAGUACAUUGCUGCUUUAUUAGAGGAAGUUGGCUGUAUGCUUAAAUCAAUACAAAUGAGCGAAAACGAAAACAGAGAAUGGUUUGGAAGCUGUGAGACUGAGUUAAGGUGCUUUACUCCUAAGACGAUCCACCAAUCCUGAAGAGAUCUGCAAGUGUUCCACAUUUCUAAGUACGCUAUUAUAACCGUGGAUCUAUCACUCUUUAUGACCUCAGAGGAGUUGGAGGAACAGUUUUCUUCCCAAGAGGACAUAAAAUUUAGCCUUUGUAACAUCAGUUAAAAAGAAAGAGCAGGAGCACUGGCCUUUUGAUAAUACCCUCAUAAUAUCAGAGCAAGAUGGCUAUAAGCCAAGAUUUGCAGUGCAAUUUUCAAGUCUUAGCCAAUUUUGAUUAUGUCUCAUGAACACCAUUUCUAGGUUGAGAAUAGAUUGCUGGGAACAUCAUUAACUAUGUAUAAUUUAUAACAUGCUGAAAUGCAGCAGGCUGAUCAGAUUUAAUGCUUUACCACCCUCAUGUUUUAGUGUAACAGAAUUUCCUUAAUUUGGGCUUGCCAAAACUUGAGAUACAAAAUUGGAUGAUGCUUCACAAACUUAUCUGUACUACUACUACUGACACCUUUUAUAUGCAAAGUUAAUAAUAUUUAAACUCUGUUAACAUGCUAUUAAAAACAAACAAACAAACAAAUAAACUACAAAUCUCUUCAGUGUGCACUUUAUAUAUGUGGCUUUAAUUAUCUGCUAUGUGUGUCAGUUUUAUUCAGGAUGUUCCCAAGUCCAUGCUUGUAGUAUUGUGAACACUGACAAUUGGAAUAAAGCUUGUAUGAGUGUGGCAGAUACAUUUGGAUCAAGGAU